rnacentral:ncRNA from 1 species
UGGCCUCAUCCGACCCGUCUUGAACACGGACCAAGGAGUCUAACAUGUGUGCGAGUCUUUGAGUGAUCGAAACUCCGAGGCGUAAUGAAAGUGAAGGCGACUCCGGUCGCUGAGGUGAGAGCCUUUUACAAAAAAAGGCGCAUCAUUGACCGACCUAUUCUACUCUUAGAAAGGUUUGAGUAAGAGCGCAUCUGUUGGGACCCGAAAGAUGGUGAACUAUGCCUGAAUAGGGUGAAGCCAGAGGAAACUCUGGUGGAGGCUCGUAGCGAUUCUGACGUGCAAAUCGAUCGUCAAAUUUGGGUAUAGGGGCGAAAGACUAAUCGAACUGUCUAGUAGCUGGUUCCCUCCGAAGUUUCCCUCAGGAUAGCUGGAACUUACGGCAGUUUUAUCAGGUAAAGCGAAUGAUUAGAGGUCUUAGGGUUAAAACAACCUUAACCUAUUCUCAAACUUUAAAUUGGUAAGAAGUCCGACUUGCUUAAUUGAAGCCGGACAGUGAAUGCGAGUUCCUAGUUGGCCAUUUUUGGUAAGCAGAACUGGCGAUGCGGGAUGAACCGAACGCGCGGUUAAGGUGCCAAAGUCGACGCUCAUCAGACCCCACAAAAGGUGUUGGUUGCUCUAGACAGCAGGACGGUGGCCAUGGAAGUUGGAAUCCGCUAAGAAGUGUGUAACAACUCACCUGCCGAAGCAACUAGCCCUGAAAAUGGAUGGCGCUCAAGCGUCGCACCUAUACCGUGCCGUCGGAGCAGAUGCGAAGCUCCGACGAGUAGGAGGGCGCGGGGGUCGUGACGCGGCCUCUGGCGCGAGCCUGGGUGAAACGGCCUCCAGUGCAGAUCUUGGUGGUAGUAGC